AGACAGCAGGACGGUGGUCAU
rnacentral:snRNA from 1 species